rnacentral:rRNA from 1 species
AUGAACGCUGGCGGCGUGCCUAAUACAUGCAAGUCGAGCGAACGGACGAGAAGCUUGCUUCUCUGAUGUUAGCGGCGGACGGGUGAGUAACACGUGGAUAACCUACCUAUAAGACUGGGAUAACUUCGGGAAACCGGAGCUAAUACCGGAUAAUAUUUUGAACCGCAUGGUUCAAAAGUGAAAGACGGUCUUGCUGUCACUUAUAGAUGGAUCCGCGCUGCAUUAGCUAGUUGGUAAGGUAACGGCUUACCAAGGCAACGAUGCAUAGCCGACCUGAGAGGGUGAUCGGCCACACUGGAACUGAGACACGGUCCAGACUCCUACGGGAGGCAGCAGUAGGGAAUCUUCCGCAAUGGGCGAAAGCCUGACGGAGCAACGCCGCGUGGGUGAUGAAGGUCUUCGGAUCGUAAAACUCUGUUAUUAGGGAAGAACAUAUGUGUAAGUAACUGUGCACAUCUUGACGGUACCUAAUCAGAAAGCCACGGCUAACUACGUG